rnacentral:rRNA from 1 species
UGUAGUCCAUAUUGCUGUCUCAAGAUAGCCAUGCAUGUCUAGUAUNAGCNAUAUACCGUGAAACUGCGAAUGGCUCAUUAAAUCAGUUAUCGUUUAUUUGAUAGUACCUUACUACUUGGAUAACCGUGGUAAUUCUAGAGCUAAUACAUGCUAAAAACCCCGACUUCGGGAGGGGGUGUAUUUAUUAGAUAAAAAACCAAUGCCCUUCGGGGCUCUUUGGUGAUUCAUAAUAACUUCUCAGAUCGCAUGGCCUUGCGCCGGCGACGGUUCAUUCAAAUUUCUGCCCUAUCAACUUUCGAUGGUAAGGUAUUGGCUUACCAUGGUUUCAACGGGUAACGGGGAAUUAGGGUUCGAUUCCGGAGAGGGAGCCUGAGAAACGGCUACCACAUCCAAGGAAGGCAGCAGGCGCGCAAAUUACCCAAUCCCGACACGGGGAGGUAGUGACAAUAAAUACUGAUACAGGGCUCUUUUGGGUCUUGUAAUUGGAAUGAGUACAAUUUAAACCUCUUAACGAGGAACAAUUGGAGGGCAAGUCUGGUGCCAGCAGCCGCGGUAAUUCCAGCUCCAAUAGCGUAUAUUAAAGUUGUUGCAGUUAAAAAGCUCGUAGUUGAAUCUUGGGCCUGGCUGGCAGGUCCGCCUCACCGCGUGUACUUGACCGGCCGGGCCUUCUCUUCUGGAGAACCUCAUGCCCUUCACUGGGCGUGUUGGGGACCAGGACUUUUACUUUGAAAAAAUUAGAGUGUUCAAAGCAGGCCUUUGCUCGAAUACGUUAGCAUGGAAUAAUAGAAUAGGACGUGCGGUCCUAUUUUGUUGGUUUCUAGGACCGCCGUAAUGAUUAAUAGGGACAGUCGGGGGCAUCAGUAUUCAAUUGUCAGAGGUGAAAUUCUUGGAUUUAUUGAAGACUAACUACUGCGAAAGCAUUUGCCAAGGAUGUUUUCAUUAAUCAGUGAACGAAAGUUAGGGGAUCGAAGACGAUCAGAUACCGUCGUAGUCUUAACCAUAAACUAUGCCGACUAGGGAUCGGGCGGUGUUUUAAUAAUGACUCGCUCGGCACCUUACGAGAAAUCAAGUGUUUGGGUUCUGGGGGGGGAGUUUGGUCGCAAGGCUGAAACUUAGA